rnacentral:rRNA from 1 species
AUUGAACGCUUUCUUCCUUCCUCACACAUUCAAUUCGAGCGUAUGAAGGGAGCUUGCUCCUGGAUUCAGCGGCGGACGGGUGAGUAAUGCCUAGGAAUCUGCCUGGUAGUGGGGGAUAACGUCCGGAAACGGGCGCUAAUACCGCAUACGUCCUGAGGGAGAAAGUGGGGGAUCUUCGGACCUCACGCUAUCAGAUGAGCCUAGGUCGGAUUAGCUAGUUGGUGGGGUAAAGGCCUACCAAGGCGACGAUCCGUAACUGGUCUGAGAGGAUGAUCAGUCACACUGGAACUGAGACACGGUCCAGACUCCUACGGGAGGCAGCAGUGGGGAAUAUUGGACAAUGGGCGAAAGCCUGAUCCAGCCAUGCCGCGUGUGUGAAGAAGGUCUUCGGAUUGUAAAGAAAGGGAAGUUGGGAGGAAGGGCAGUAAGUUAAUACAUUGCUGUUUUGACGUUACCCAAAGAAUAAGCAAAGGCUAAAUUCGGG